GCGAGGAUGUCCACAGACCGCAGCUGGAUCGGCUUGCCAUGCAUGCAUCCCGCAUACCUGCUAAUUGCUAUUGCUUUCAAGGGAUGAUUAUUACCACCGGUGUGGAGAGACGGGAGAGCCUCGGCCGCUCGCGCGCGGUGAUGCAACGACGACGCGCGCGCGCCUGUCGUGUCCUCAACCUGAACCUGAACCUGAACGGGACCGCCGGCGACAACCUAGUAUAUGGCUGUAGGUAUCCUUCUCGUGCCCUCCUGUUCCUGUCCUGCCGCCGGUGCGCCGUCGCAUCGAUGGGUGCCUGGUGGUGCUCCGUUGGUGAUCCGGGUCCCCGCGGCGGCGCGGCGUGUGCACCGGCGCGCCAUACCACGAAUGUUUUGGGAUGCCAGCCACCCGCUUGUCACGUCCAAGAUGCGGCAGGCAAAGUGUGGCGCGCCGCAGGUUCACCGAAACUUUUAAAGGCGCCGCAUCUUGUGAGUAUGUGCACAGUGCACAUCACAGCUGCAUAUGCCUGGCUCAUUCAUCAGUCGUCAUUCCCAACUGUACGCGUCAGGACCCCCGGUGGUGCAACUUCGUUAGUACGUGCACUGUUCCGGUACCGGAGCGGUGGUAGGUGUUGCAUGUUCCCGUACGUCUUGAACGUGGGCUAGUUGUGUGCAUCGCUGCUUCCUGGCAGAGAUCGAGAUGCGAUCAAAGAUUGUCCCGCCCAGCUGGGCCCAGCCCAGCAGCAAAGACCGACCAAGAGUCGUUCACCGGCCGGCUCCACAUAUGUUCCUCUCAAAUCAUGUUUACCUUUCCGUUUUAUCCGGUUCGUAUCAUCGUCAUCGUGACACAUGUCACACGCGUGAAAAUCCACUAGCUAAGGCCGGAGAAUUCGGUAUAUAUAUAUAUAUAUAUAUGGGAACCAACAAAAGGAAAAAUACUGGAAGAUGCUGGAAUUGAUAGUACUGUCCACUUGGGAAAACGAUAGGCCACCCAGUCUGGCUAAUUACAGACUAAAGAUAAUAUCACUUUGAAAGCUUGAUAACCAGAAUGACACCGGUCGUCAAGUUUAAUGACCGUUGCAGAAUUUUACUCAUUAUACACAUGCAGUAUGCCAGCUCAUCAUUACACUAGUGUAGCAAGCAAGCUUGGGGUCGGUCCUGUGUUUUAGUGCUAUAUCUCUCAGAACCCGAUCUUCAUGUAAAAAUGUUUUGUCACUCUUAAUACAAAAACGCGCAA